UCAUCUCUUCAAGCGAGCCUUUGGAUUAAGGGCGGGGCUUCAGAGUUCAGCUCGCGUGGGGCGGGAAGGAAGGCAGGCGAGCUCCUUCGGCGGCCACUUUUAACUUGCAGGCAGCCACCCACCCAAGCCCCACGCCAUGACCCAGCAAGACGCUGGGCUCGGCGGGAGGGCGAGAGAGCGAGCAGGCGGUCGGACUGCCUGCCUAGGAUAAAGGUGCCCGCCGCUUGACUGGCGGCCACUCCCAAAGGCGGCCCUGGGUGGGGCUUCGCGGGCCUCGCUCCGCGAGCAGAACCGGUCUGACGGUGGAGGCUCGGAGGCAGGGAGGGAAGCGCCCUCACAGCCCUCUGGUCGUUCAUUUCUCGGCCUGUUUCAUGUUUUAAUCUGACUCGUCCAUCGAAGCCGCCGUCUGAUUUUGAGCGCCCCUAAGGGGGCUAACGUCUUGAACCCAGAUGAAACGCAGGACGGCAUAGAGAUAAGGAAAGUGGCUCUGAGCAGAAUCUUGUUUCUCUGCCCGUGCUGCCCAAGUUAUCUCCAUGAUGAAAAUCCACAAAAUAGAUGAAAGCAAGCUAAUAUCCUCUUCUCCUGCACUUGGCCUCUAAGGACCUGCACCAGGAGCAGCUGUUUGGGCUCUCACUUUGAUGAAUGGGGCCAGAUCCAGCAGGCCAGUGUCACUGGUGGUAGAGCAACAGGCCUCAUUGUGGUGCAGCCAGAUCCCAUUGAAUCAGCGGCUUCUGAGCUAGGCAUCACGCAGCUGGGAUCUCCGGAGACUCUAGGAACCAUCUCCCGCCACACAAGAAACCCUCAUCUUCCUAUUGAACUGGUAGGGUGGCCAUGUGUUUUACUUUCACAUAUACUGGGCAGGCCCUGAUCUUGCCAUAGGAUUGCCCCAACGGUUUAUAGUACUUCCUGGUGCCAGCUAUGGCUUCUAUGGAAACAGAAGGGGGCAUUAAGCACUGGAACACCCACUCGCCUGAUUACUCUGCUCCAAAUCGCCUCUUCCUGAACCCGAUUUACUGUAGUAGAAGCAGACAUUGGGAUUGUGUUACAUACAUUUGCUUACUGUAGUGUGAAUUUUCCUCCUCUCUGUAAUAACUAUUUACCAUCGCCUGGAGAAAGCUUAAUAGUGGGGUAGGAGA